GAUGAACGCUAGCUACAGGCUUAACACAUGCAAGUCGAGGGGCAGCAUGAACAAAGCUUGCUUUGUUUGAUGGCGACCGGCGCACGGGUGCGUAACACGUAUCCAAUCUGCCCGCGGCUCGGGGAUAGCCCAUCGAAAGAUGGAUUAAUACCCGAUGGCGUGGUCGCCCCGCAUGGGGUUUCCACUAAAGGUUUUCCGGCCGCGGAUGAGGAUGCGUAUGAUUAGGUAGUAGGCGGGGUAACGGCCCACCUAGCCUUCGAUCAUUAGGGGUUCUGAGAGGAAGGUCCCCCACACUGGAACUGAGACACGGUCCAGACCCCUACGGGAGGCAGCAGUGAGGAAUAUUGGUCAAUGGGCGAGAGCCUGAACCAGCCAAGUAGCGUGAAGGAAGACUGCCCUAUGGGUUGUAAACUUCUUUUGUUCGGGAAUAAAGUGCAGUAUGUAUACUGUUUUGUAUGUACCGUUCGAAUAAGCAUCGGCUAAUUCCGUGCCAGCCGCCGCUGUAACAC
rnacentral:rRNA from 1 species